CCCUUAGAUGUUCUGGGCUGCACGCGCGCUACACUGACGCACGCAACAGGUGCCUGCUCCGAGAGGACUGGGUAAUCAUUUGAGUGUGCGUCGUGAUGGGGAUAGAAUAUUGUAAUUAUUACUCUUCAACGAGGAAUUCCUAGUAAGCGCCAGUCAGCAGCUUGCGCUGAUUACGUCCCUGCCCUUUGUACACACCGCCCGUCGCUCCUACCGAUGGGUGAUCCGGUGAAUGAUUCGGACUUCAGCGGCUCCCCUGGGGUGCGCCGGAGAAAGUUUUGUGAGCCUUAUCACUUGGAGGAAGGAGAAGUCGUAACA
rnacentral:rRNA from 1 species